AUACGGAGGGUGCAAGCGUUGUCCGGAUUUAUUGGGUUUAAAGGGUACGUAGGCGGCUUAUUAAGUCAGUGGUGAAAACCUACAGCUCAACUGUAGAGGUGCCAUUGAAACUGGUGAGCUUGAGUACUGUUAAGGUAGGCGGAAUUGAUGGUGUAGCGGUGAAAUGCAUAGAUACCAUCAGGAACACCGAUUGCGAAGGCAGCUUACUGGGCAGUAACUGACGCUAAUGUACGAAAGCGUGGGGAGCGAACAGGAUUAGAAACCCCGGUAGUCC
rnacentral:rRNA from 1 species